GAUGGCUCAGUGGUAGAGCAUUUGCUUAGCAUGGCGAGUGCCUGGGUUCAAUUCCCAGCAUCA
rnacentral:tRNA from 1 species